UAUGAAGGCAGUCUUAUAGCGAUCCGAUCCUAACCAACGGCGUGAAUGUUCUAAACAACCACAACUAGAACGACAAUAUUAGGUCUGUUCUUUUUAGCUGCACUGCUGAACUGGUGCAAUAAGUUAGAGUGAGAAAAAAUAUACUUGUCUCACUUUAACGUAUUGCACUAGUUCAGCAGUGCAGCUAAAAAGAACAGACCUAUUGAACGCACAUACGUUGCUCCGCACUUUGUUUAAAUGCGUUUCAUUUUUGGUUACUCAACAGACCUUUAGAAUAUCUUUGGAGAUAUUAGGUAAAGAGAUAACUAAUCAUAAAAGGGUAUGUAAUUGAAUUAAUAAUAUACUUUUCUACAUUACAUUUUAGCAUUUUAUUUUAUUGCUAUAAUAUAAAAAUCUGUCGAUAAUUGUGGAAAGUUUUUUUUAUGUAUAAAUACAUUAGUACAUAACUUAACCUAAAAUUUUUUUGUGCAUUGUUAAAUGAUAUUUUCUUGCUGUUCUAUCACUUGCAUUGUGAAUCUGUGUAUCCAUUAGAAUUACAAUAGUGUGAGACUCCGUCCCGUAGGAUAGAUAAUAAUUUUAUAUGAAUUUAAAACAAAGUUGUCUGCAAUGGAUAGUAAAAUUGACAACUCUCUUAUACAUCACGAUGUCAAAAUGUUCUUUUUCUUAUUUUAUCACAGAUAAUAAGGUUGUACACUAAUACUGUAUGAUUAUAGAAAGUCUAUUCUGCAAAAAAAUGAAUAAAAAAAAAUUUGCUAUUAUUUUAUCAAAUAAUAAUCAAUAUGAAAUUUGCAAAUGUACUGAUCUUAAGAAGUCUAAUAAUCAACAAUUAUCACGAAAAAAGCAUCAUAAAUAUUUAUUCAUCAAAAAGUGCAAUAAGGAGAUUGUGCAACUUAUAUGUAUUCAUUGUAAUUACUAAAUUUGAAAUAAGUUAGUACAAAACCUGAAAUGUGAUAUCCCACGAGUAAAACUCGACGAUAUUAAAAACGAGUCACACAAAUUUACUUCUUCGAAAAAUAUUGAAAAAUCUAAUGAUGGUAUACAAACUUAUAUUUUAACUGAUGUAUCAGAAACGCAACUUGAUUCAUCGGCUUGUAUUACAAGUUCUAUUAAUGUAUCGGAUACAUCACAAAGUGUAAAAUUAAAAAUUAGAAAUUAGUGAACUAAAAGUUUAAUUUUAUGAUGUUAAUAAUCUGUUAAAAAAAAUAUUUUCAAACUUUCAAUUUGUUAAGCAAAUUGUAAUAUUUCUAUUCUAAUUAUUUUAUAUGCAGGGCACUAAAAACACAAACCUGAAUAACGCUUUUAGUAAUAAUAGAAGAAAAUGUUUCAAACGAAACUUCUUUGGCUUCAUACAUAGUGGCUAUUGCAAGUGUUCAAAAUGAUGAUCUUGAGCAUUGAUGCAUGCUCUAAAGCAGUUAGCUAUGGAAAAAAUAUUGCAUUUCGAAUUUUAUUUGUAUCUAUUGUAAAACAUGCUCUUUUCUUUUUCGUUGGACUGGUCGGUUUGGAAUACAAAAAUGUCCUUUUUCGGUCACCGAUUUUAAUAUCCUUGGAUUGUUAUUUAUGAGGAAAAUUAAAACAACAGAUAUACCAGAUUCUGUACAGUUGGUAACAUGCUACCGCAUGCAGGUAUAGUGAAGAACCAACAUUUAAGGAAAAUCGGAAAGAACGUAUAAGAAAAGUAUGUUCUAUAGAUACAAAUGAAUAUGUACAAAUGAAGUUCGAAAUGCAAUUUUCCCAUAAUUAAUUACUUUAGAGCAUGCAUCGAUGCUCAAGAUCAUCAUUUUGAACACUUGCAAUAACACCGCGUAUCUGAAAUAAUAAGUUAAGGAAGUAUGUGAUCCCUUCGUUAAAAUAAAUUAUUUUUCUUUGUAACUGACUUUGAUUGACCUUAAAUCAUACAUUAUCGUACGCGUCUUAAAAUGCUCUAUUAAGAGAUAAAUGAGAAAAUAUAUCAUUCCAUUUAAACAAAAGUUGAUGACCUUGAAAUGUUGUUGUCCCUCCAACUUACGAUCACGUCAUUUUUGAAUGUCUCUCUUGAAGCCAAACAAGUUUCAUUUAAAACAUUUUCUUCUCUUAUUAAGAAUAAAAUUCAGGUGGUCUGUUUUAAAUGUCCUACCGUGUAUAUUACUUAUAUCAUAAUUAUGUUAAAUAUUCAUAAAUAAUAAAACGAUAACCGAAACUUGUAUCUUAAAUAAUGACUGUGACACUUUAUAUUGAUGUAUAUAACUUAUUAUUUUCAAAGAUUCUUAAAAAAUUAAUAUUGUAGAAAUAAUUCUAAUAUUAUCAUUAUAUCCAUUUAAUUACUGUUUUAUGUACAGAAUAUAAUACUACAGAUGGGAGAACGUUGGAUAAAUCUCAUUGUCAGACUCCUUUAAAAAGCUAUAGUAUUGUUCAGAGCUCCUCUACAAAAUGCAUUUUGAGAUCACAGAGCAGUGCUCCAAGAGUAUCGUAUUAUACGAAUAGCAACAAUUCUUUAAUGAGAAAUACAAUUCUACAAGAUGAUGGUAAAUUAUUAAUCAAAUAAUAAUAAUUUCUUUGUACUUUUUGUACCUUAUAAAAGCAUUUAAUUAUUAACUGUUUCAAGUUUAUUUUAGAAGAUUAUAAUUCGACAGUAUUUGAGAUAGAAUUCUAUUUAUACUUUUAUGCGCCAUGUAAUACAGAUACUAUUUAAAACAUCAGAAUACACACAUGUACAAAAUAAAGUGACAUAUACA